UCAGGAAGAAUUGAGCUAGUGCGCACAGUGCUGUCGGCCAUGGCCAUUUACCGGAUCAUGGCACUGGCUCCUCCCAAGUGGUUUAUCAAGAUGGUGGACAGAUUGCGGAGAGGUUCCCUUUGGGCGGCGGACGAGACUUCGCCGGGCGGCAGAUGCCUCGUGCGGUGGCGUGAUGUGUGCAAACCAAGGGAGCUGGGCGGGCUGGGAAUCAGUGAUCUGCAGCUUCAUGGGGCUGCGUUACGGGAGCGUUGGCAAUGGAGGAAGUGGUCAGAUGACGGCAGGUCAUGGCAACAGCUCAUCCUACCAACUGACCUGAGGGCUGAAUGUGUAUUCAGAGCCUCUACAUCUAUCAUCAUCGGCGACGGCUGCAAAGCAAAUUUUUGGCACUCUCACUGGGUGGACGGUUGCCGACCUGCCGAUCUAUGGCCGAACCUCUUCGGCCACUGCAAUGGGCGACGGCUCUCCCUGCGUAUGGCUAUCAACGAGGACAAAUGGAUGCAGUACGUCAAGGCCAACCCCUCCCCGGUUGUCCUUCGCGAGCUUUGCCAGCUGUGGGAGGCCACGCAAGCGAUCACCUUCCAGGACGACACGACGGACUCCCUGCGUUGGAAAUGGACUGCAUCGGGUGAGUACACGGCGACUUCAGCAUACCACAUGUUGUUUCAGGGAUCCAUCCCCUCCAACGACAACACCGUCAUUUGGAGGGCCAAGGCGGCGCCACGAGCCAAGGCUUUCGCCUGGAUUCUGCUGAAGGGGAAGUGUCUGACAGCGGACAACCUGGCUAAAUGA
rnacentral:rRNA from 1 species